UAUUGCUGCCUGUUUAUCAAAAACAUGUCCGUGUUAGUUAUAAGUACAUGGUCUAGCCUGCCCACUGACCAAGUUUAAGGGCCGCGGUAUCCUGACCGUGCGAUAGGUAGCAUAAUCAUUAGUCUUUUAAUUGGAGGCUGGUAUGAAUGGUUGGACAAGAACUAAGCUGUCUCUACGGCGAAACUUGAAUUUAACUUUUGAGUCAAAAGGCUUAAAUGAAUCAGGGGGACGAUAAGACCCUAUAAAGCUUUACAUUAGAUCUUGUGUCUGGUAAAAUAAGUUAUUAACACUUAGGCAGAAUGAUGAAUGUUAUGCUGGGGCGGCAGGGGUAAAAUAUUAUAACUGCUCUUAUUUUAAAGCAAUGAUUUUUGGAUUGUAGAGGAUCCUUUUUAGAGAUUAAAAGAUUAAGUUACUUUAGGGAUAACAGCGUAAUUUUCUCUGAGAGCUCAUAUCGAAGAGAAAGAUUGCGACCUCGAUGUUGAAUUAAGAUUUCUUUUGUAGCGCAGCCGUUUACUUGAGAAGGUCUGUUCGACCUUUAAUUUCUUACAUGAUUUGAGUUCAGACCGGCGUGAGCCAGGUUGGUUUCUAUCUCUA
rnacentral:rRNA from 1 species